AUGAGAGAGAUGGAGGCACUGAAGAAGAAAGGCCACAGAUCCUUGGCCAAGGCCAAACCAGUGAAGCCCUCCUACAACUACAGUGCCCCAUCCAGGCACAAGCGUUCCAAGAGUGAUUUGGAGGAGAAAAAUGCCAAGGAUGCGCUGCAUUCUUCGCACAAAGCGUCUCAUAAUCAGCCAAAGUUGAAUGGUACAAACUCAAACUCUCAUCUGCAGAGCGAAACCAACAAGGGAAUCCACCCCAAGACUGACACGCAAGACUCCCUCAGAAAAGAGAUUGUGCAGCUGGAGAGGCACCUUGACGAUCAGCAAACGGUGCGCGGCGCACUGGAGAAAGCGUUGGGGCCCAACCCUGCUCCGGUCACUCUCUCCAAUGAGAGCCCAAUCCUCCAGCCCACUAACCAGCUGAUAAGGGAGGUUGCGACAUUGGAGCUGGAGAUCAAGCACCUGGAGCAGUACCUCCUAACAUUGUACAGGAAGGCAUUUGAGCAAGCGCCCAUGGUCCCAUCCUCACUUGUCGUUCGCCAGGAGGAGCCGGCGCCGCCAAAGCCGUCGGUGAGCUCACGGUCUGCGCUGAUGGAGGAAACGCCCAAGCCAAAGGCUACCGCCGGAAGAGGUGGCGAUGCAAUGCUCCACUACAGCUGCCCUCCGCUUAGCAAGAGGAGGAAUGGCACGAUGAUGGAGGACUGCUCUCCGUCCACAUGCCCAACCAAGGCCAUGGACUCUGAUCAUGGCCUGCGCAGCCAGUCUGCGCUGUCGUUCCGCGGCGUGUGCUCGUCGAGGAUAUCGCCGUCGGAGGAGAGCCUGGCGAGAGCUCUCCGCUCGUGCCACUCUCAACCUUUCUCAUUCUUGGAGGAAGGAGAGGCUGCUACUACAUCAGGAGUGGUAAGCCUAGCUGACUAUCUGGGGACUAAUGUGGCCGACCACAUCCCUGAAACCCCCAACAACCUUUCUGAGGAGAUGGUGAGGUGCAUGGCAGGGGUGUACUGCAAGCUUGCAGAUCCACCUCUGGUGCACCACCGUGCAUCUUCGUCGCCCACGUCGUCGCUCUCGUCGACGACGAGUGUGGUCUCCCCACAGUACCUUGGGGACAUGUGGAGCCCCAAUUGCAGGAGAGAAGCCACUCUGGACUCGCGGCUGAUCAACCCGUUCCACGUCGAGGGGCUCAAGGAGUUCAGUGGACCGUACAACACCAUGGUUGAGGUCCCGUCGAUUUCCCGCGACCGCCCAAGGCUUAGAGAAGUCGAAGAUUUGCUCCAAACUUACAAGUUAAUUCUUCAUCGGUUGGAGAGCGUGGACCUCCGGAGGAUGGCCAACGAGGAGAAGCUCGCCUUCUGGAUCAACAUACACAAUGCAUUGUUGAUGCAUGCUUACCUCAAGCAUGGCAUCCCGCAUAACCAUCUGAAGAAGACAUCACUUCUUGUCAAGGCUGAGUGCAAGAUCGCCGGGCGCAGCAUCAACGCGGCGGCCAUCCAGGGGCUGGUCCUCGGAUGCAGCACCCACUGUCCCGGACAGUGGCUGAGGACUUUGCUGCACCCAAGGAUGAAAAGCAGAGGGAGCAAAGCAGGGGGGCAAUGGCAAGCCUUUGCCAUCCAUCGACCCGAGCCUCUUCUGCGCUUCGCGCUUUGCUCCGGCAGCCACUCCGAUCCCGCGGUGAGGGUGUACACGCCGAAGCGGCUGUUCCAGCAGCUCGAGGCGGCCAAGGAGGAGUACAUCCGCGCCACGGUGGGGGUCCGCCCGCCGGACCAUCAGCACCGCCGCGGCAGGGUGCUGCUUCCCAAGCUGGUGGAGGCGUACGCCAGGGACGUCGGCCUCUCGCCGGAGCGGCUCCUCGACGCGGCGCAGCGGUGCCUGCCGGAGAGCGUGCGGGCAGCGGUGCAGCGAUGCCGGCAGCAGCAGCAGGGGACGACGGCGAGCAAGGCGGUGGUGGAGUGGGCGCCGCACAGGCAGGGCUUUCGGUACCUGCUCGCCAGGGACCUCGCGUUCCCGCACCUCAGCUGA
rnacentral:rRNA from 1 species